UGACUCAUCCCUCCUCCGUGCCGUGCUGCCAGGCUGUCUGGCGGCCCUGCGUGCAGAGACAGUGAUAGAUCUGGAGAGCUGUUGCUGCUGGUCCGUGGUGACUGGGGAUGGCAUGUCAGGUGGAGAAGAAUUUCCUCUGUGUGCGCAUUUAGACAGCUUCAGAAGGGAGGAAAACACAGAAGACGAGGGCUGAAAGAUGGCAUUGGACUUGGCACAGGGAUGGUCAGGAGGUCCUGAGUCACUUUGAGAAGGUACAAAGGAAGCCAGAUUGAGCCAGCUUGAAGAGUCAGGGAGAGGGAGGGGUGGAGAUGGCUGUGGAAAAUGUUUGACUCUGAAAACUUGGGGUCUAGAAGGGAGGUGUUUGGGUUGCAUCUUUAGUAUGAGCUACUUGGUUAUAUUUAAAGCCUGAAAAUGAGUUAGUAGAGAAACUUUGAAAAUUAAGAGACAGAGAGCACGUGGAUGCUGCUAGACAUUGGUCCCUGAGGAGUCAAGAGGGUGAUUCAGAGGAUGGAGAGGUGCUGUUUCCUGGGAAUGGGGGUGUCCUCUCAUCACCACAGCACCAUUGUCAGCUUACAAAACCCGUCUAGAUGCUGCACCCCAGUAUUUCCAGUCCCC
rnacentral:lncRNA from 1 species